rnacentral:rRNA from 1 species
UACGUAGGGUGCGAGCGUUGUCCGGAAUUAUUGGGCGUAAAGAGCUCGUAGGCGGUCUGUCGCGUCUGCUGUGAAAACCCGAGGCUCAACCUCGGGCCUGCAGUGGGUACGGGCAGACUAGAGUGCGGUAGGGGAGAAUGGAAUUCCUGGUGUAGCGGUGGAAUGCGCAGAUAUCAGGAGGAACACCGAUGGCGAAGGCGGUCUGCUGGGCCAAGACUGACGCUGAGGCGCGACAGCGUGGGGAGCAAACAGG